GAUGAACGCUAGCGGGAGGCUUAACACAUGCAAGUCGAGCGGCAAUCCCGAGCAAUCGGGACUAGAGCGGCGCACGGGUGAGUAACGCGUAUGCAACCUACCCUUUACAGGGGGAUAGCCCGUCGAAAGGCGGAUUAAUACCCCAUGGUACUACCGGAUCGCAUGGUUUGGUGGUUAAAGUUCCAACGGUAAAGGAUGGGCAUGCGUGACAUUAGUUUGUUGGCGGGGUAACGGCCCACCAAGACUACGAUGUCUAGGGGUUCUGAGAGGAUGAUCCCCCACACUGGUACUGAGACACGGACCAGACUCCUACGGGAGGCUG
rnacentral:rRNA from 1 species